CGGCGGCGGCCGCUCAGUGCCUUCUGCCGGCCCCGCACGCGGCCACCACGCCGGAUCCGCCCGGGUGGUGGGAGUGUGCGGCGGGAGCGGCGGGCUGCGGAGCGGCCACGGCCGCGGCGGCGCGGAUGUGGAGGCGGCGAGGCUGAGCGGGCGCGGCCGCGGCUGCGCCGCCCGCCUGUACCCACCACAAUCCCGCCCACGAGCACGAGACGACCAUCACGCCCGCGAGCACGAACAGGCGGCGGCGAUGACAGACAGAGGAGAGGUCAAGGCGUCUGAUUCCAGUGAUAGCCGGCGACGGGUAAGGAGUAAAAUGAAACUCAGGGUGAGUUGUUCUACUGCCUCAGGGUGUCAUUGAGCUCUGCUUGCUAAGUGCUCGUUGAAAUGCCUAUGCGCACUAAUGUAAUUGCUCCACUUUUGGGUACAGUUUGCUUUGUGCUGUAACUUGUUCCUAACAAAAUCGUGUCGAUUCCCAUGGCCUGUGUGUCUGUAUAUCAAAGUACUGCUAGAUUAACGAGCUCUCACCUAUUAUUGGCACUGCAGUAAACAUAUGCAGAAUAUGAGCCAAUGCGAUAGUUUUUUUUGGACGUAUUUAGUUUCAGUACCUGUAGUUAGAGCCCUUUUUUCGUUCUUUUUCUACAACAAACAUUAGAAUUGCAUGUCUUUGCAUUAAUUAAUCGAUUAAGAGGUUCCAACCUGUUUGGAGAUGAUUUCUGUCUACUAGCGAGGUUCAACUGGUAACUAUAUGUAAAACACCUGUAUCAUUUCAGGGUUUAUUUAUUAUCAUUAUUAUUUGUUGUGUUAAACUUUGAUCAAGGACAGCCUGAUGAAAAGUGAAAACCAUUGCUUCAUCAUUUACAGGAUCUGUUUUUGACCUCUGCACUCAGUUAUUGUUUGAUUUAGAAAGCUGAAAUAUUUUGCAUAAUCUUUGCAUUUUGUUGGUUAGUCAGAAAUUGUAUGUCAUAAGAUGGGACUUGGGAGUGAGAUUACAGUGCUACGUUUCUUCUAACACUUUAUUAUAGCAAAACAAAAUAACCACUGUUUAAUCUGAUUUCUCAUUUAGGCCUCCUAUAUUUUAAGUACUUGUAAAACCUGAAAGAUGAUAACUUUAUCUGAUGGUCAUGCCUGUCUUCAAAAUUUUAGAUGUUUAUUUUGGCUCCUAGAGGUUUAUCUGAUGCCAUGUAUAUCUCUAGAAUUCUAGAUCGGAAGGGGACAGAUUAUGUGAUUAACCUCCAUGUGAGUAAAAAAUAUUUGUGAAGAAAAAAUGACAUCAACUCAUUAGAGCGCGACCAUCAAAUUUUGAGGUAUUGUCUUGUUUGCUGCCCGUUAGAUUUUAUUUCCAGCUCUCGCCAUAUAAUUCUGAGCAACUGAGCUUGUGUCCUUAUAGGAGCUAGAGCUACCAAUCACAUUUUAGCUGUGCUGAUUGACUGAUUCCCAAGUCUCAACUUUAGUAAGUCAUUGGUUGGGAAACUGUUGUAGAUGCAACCUGCUAGAAGCUUGUUUUUUAUAAGAAAAUUGUAUGUUGUUGAGUUUCUUGUUGCUUUCUUGAAUCGGAUUGGCCAGUAUUAUUCCUCAAAUUUAGGUACUUAGAGACUUUACUGCUGUAGGAAGAAACACUAUUUGCCUUUGGUGACUACAGAUGAUUUUUUUAGUGACUACUGAAUGAUGUUGCUUGUUAAUUCAGAAUUUUUGUUAGGAACAUGGUUGACCGUAUGCUCUCUUGAUCUUGUUUGUUUUGGCAUCUGCUGGUCCUAAUGGUGCUGCCCCCCCUGUUUUUAAAUGCCCUUCAUCUCUGGUAAACACACCAUGGAUAAUGAGUAUCAACCGCCACUCAAUUCCGCAAUAGGUGACACUAUGUAGCAUGUGAAGCUCUGUAAUUCAACAAUAAAGUGUUGGCUUAUCUGGUGGCAAUUCUAGCAAUAUAAAUCAGAAGCAUCUACAUAUUCCAGCAUGACUAUUUAAAUUUCUGUGGCUAAUCUCUAUGUCUGAUUCAUUAUCUUUGUAUAUGUCAUCUAGCUGCACACUCAUCUCAUCCAAACUUAAAAAAGUGGAAACAUUGUGUUUUGUAGCCGGUACAAGUUCUGAUAGAGUUGUGAUGGAAAUUCUGCUCCACUUCAAGAUGAUAGAAACACAAAGAGGCCACAGAUUGAAUCAGACACAAUACAAUUGCUCGAGCAAGAAAGAGUUUCUGCUGAUGUCAAUGGUUAACUAUACCUAUGAUUGAGAAAAAGAGAAUAGAGAGUGAAUUAUAAUAGGAAAUUGUAGAGAUAUCAGAAUUCAGAAGUAGCAAGUUGGUGAUCGAUCUGAAGAAAUGGAUUUUGUUACAAAUCAAAAUUGAUCGAGUUGAUUAAAAAAGUAUUAAUCAGAUGAGGCUUCAUUGAGAUUUGAAAAAAGUAUUAGACAAUUGGGUAUUUUCUUAAGAGGCAGUCUGAGCCUAAUCUGAUCAGAGAGCAGUAAUCCGAUAAAAUGUCUUUGGGCUUCUACCCUCAUAUGUGGACACCUGAUGAGUGGGCAAGCUUACGUCCUCACCGACAGGGCUCUUAAGAUGCUGCAGCGUGUCAUCCUGUGCAAGACAAAUCACAACAAUGUUGAGCGCUGAGCAGUGGCCGACCAUGGCAGCAAGCACCAUCACGGUGAGGUAACCCCCUCUGCGUUGCUUCGGCAUCCUACCUAUCUACUUGCUUUCAUAUCACUUUUAUAACCAGUUUCUAACAAUUGUUUCCAUUAUUUAAGCAGAAAGUCUACUUGUACUCCCAUGGGUAUGUAUCACUAGAAAAGAAUUGGAUUAAAUGCAAAAUGCACUACAUCUUCAUGAACCUUAUGUAGUUUUAGCAUUACCAUACAGUUGGAGUAGCUCUACCUAGAGUUGGAAUAUGUGCACAAUGCCAGUAUGCCACAAUCCCUAAACUACAACUAUUAGAAGAAAGCUUAUUUCACUAUAUCUGUGAGCAGAUGAAUGGCUUAUUUAAUUCACUAUAUCUGUGAGAAGAUGAAUGGAACUCUAUGAAUCAUAAUGGUUUGCCGACUGCACUCCACUUGAACAGGGUACACGAAUUUCACUGCUCGUUGAGGUGGAUCUGUUAGACAACAGUAUAAGCGCUCUCAUAGGAAAGCUGUUAUGGUUGUUGUCUGAGGCUGGAGGAUGGAUCUGUUAGAAUAAACCGUGCCAUGGUGUGUGCUUGGCGUGCAUCAUCACGCGUGAGUACGUGCGUUCAUUAUUGAGUCAUUUAGGUUGCUAUGGUCUGAUCGAGUCCUUAGCAUGUCCACUGGCGCACGAAGUUCAUGCUCGUGUUCACGUCCAGUGUUGAGUAGGAUGGUGCUUGUGUGCUCAUGCCUGCAGGUCGAGUCAGGGUCGGAACACCGGUGUGACCACGUUCCAGGUUGUGUCCAGAUGUUUGGUGUGUGCACGUGCUGGCAUGUUAGUUACGAAGGUGCAGGGAUGGCUUAGACGUGCCAGUUGGUGGCAGUAACGGAGGAGCACGACGAGCCACGGGAUCAGCACUGCUCAGAUUUGAGAUUGUGCUAUGCUCUGUGCUCUUGAUUGAUGAUGGCCUAAGGUUUCUACUGGUUAUUUAUUCUUGGGCGAAAGCCGAUCUUGAGAUCAUUCAAUGCUGCAUGUCCUGAUACAUUUUGAGAUGCAUGUAGAUGUGUGAGUCAAGAUAAAUGCACACACUCGUCGAGGAGGAUCAGGGUAGGGUCGAAUGCCCGUGGAUGUUGCCCCGGCGCCCCCAAGCAUGCCAAGAAACCCCCCUCAAGGAGGAGAACGUGGAGGAAUCAAGGUGGUGGCGGCGAGGAUGCCAUACCCGGAGGAUGGGUUGCUGCAUCUCUGGUCUCAAUGCCCUCUACAUUGUCAUGACGUCUGGAUCAAUGAGUACCACUUCCACGUCCUCCGCCAGAUUGAUGAAGGUGGCUUCGCCGCCGUCGUCUACCCCAUUGCAACAGCAGCCUCCAGAUUUAUGUAAAUUAUCUGUUGUCGUGACAUAUUGUCAAAUAAAAUGUUUUAUUGGCUAGGGUACUCGAUAUUUUACUCUAACUAUUUAAAAAAAGUUUAUCUCAUGUUGAGAAGGCUUGUUGUCUUGA